rnacentral:rRNA from 1 species
UACGUAGGGACCAAGCGUUGUUCGGAUUUACUGGGCGUAAAGGGCGCGUAGGCGGCGCGACAAGUCACUUGUGAAAUCUCCGGGCUUAACCCGGAACGGCCAAGUGAAACUGUCGUGCUAGAGUGCGGAAGGGGCAAUCGGAAUUCUCGGUGUAGCGGUGAAAUGCGUAGAUAUCGAGAGGAACACCUGAGGUGAAGACGGGUUGCUGGGCCGACACUGACGCUGAGUGCGCGAAAGCGUGGGGAGCAAACAGG